GACCUCGGAUCAGGUAGGAAGACCCGCUGAACUUAAGCAUAUCAAUAAGCGGAGGAAAAGAAACCAACAGGGAUUGCCCUAGUAACGGCGAGUGAAGCGGCAACAGCUCAAAUUUGAAAUCUGGCUUCGGCCCGAGUUGUAAUUUGCAGAGGAAGCUUUAGGCGCGGCACCUUCUGAGUCCCCUGGAACGGGGCGCCAUAGAGGGUGAGAGCCCCGUAUAGUUGGAUGCCUAGCCUGUGUAAAGCUCCUUCGACGAGUCGAGUAGUUUGGGAAUGCUGCUCAAAAUGGGAGGUAAAUUUCUUCUAAAGCUAAAUACCGGCCAGAGACCGAUAGCGCACAAGUAGAGUGAUCGAAAGAUGAAGAGCACUUUGAAAAGAGGGUUAAAUAGCACGUGAAAUUGUUGAAAGGGAAGCGCUU
rnacentral:rRNA from 1 species